rnacentral:lncRNA from 1 species
CCAACUGAAUCUGGUAUUUACGUGGAGAAAGGUAAAGGGACAGGCCCAUUAUCGUCGAGCUUCGAUGCCAGUGGAUGGUCCCAAGGUUGUCCCUGGACAAAUUUAUCGGUCAUAAAAAAAGUAGACAUAAAUAUUACUCCCUCGAUACUAUUUCACAUUCCCUAUUAUCCCUUGUCAUUGUUCUUGUCCUUUCUCAAAGGUAUAAGACUCUUUAUUUAAGAAUACCCUAAAUACACAAACCAAUGGAACACCAAAGUAGAGAAAUAUUCAAGACAUGCAAGCUAAUACGAUGGCAAUUAAAAUAAGAGACCACUCAGUUUUUUUUUCUUUCUUUUU